AAACGGGGUAGGCGUAAUACCGAAUACGAUCCUUCCACCGCAUGGAGGGGGGAGUGAAAGAUGGCCUCUAUAUAUAAGCUAUCGCUGAAGGAUGAGCCUGCGUCUGAUUAGCUUGUUGGUGGGGUAACGGCCUACCAAGGCGAUGAUCAGUAGCCGGUCUGAGAGGAUGAACGGCCACAUUGGGACUGAGACACGGCCCAAACUCCUACGGGAGGCAGCAGUGGGGAAUAUUCCGCAAUGGACGAAAGUCUGACGGAGCAACGCCGCGUGAGUGAUGAAGGUUUUCGGACUGUAAAGCUCUGUUGUUUGGGACGAAAGUGCCUGUUGCGAACAGUUACGGGUAUUGACGGUACUAAACGAGGAAGCCACGGCUAACUACGUGCCAGCCGCCGC
rnacentral:rRNA from 1 species